AGAGAAGAAAAAUAAAAAGGGAGAAAGAUUUGGAAAUUAAGGAAGAAACUGGAGAGUAGCUAGUAAUGCCUUCUCAUUCUGGAGAUGACAAUGUUCUUCAAGUUCUCAUCAAGAACUUCGAUGUUCUUGCUCUCCCAUUGGUCGCUCUCGUCUACCCUCUGUAUGCAUCAGUGAAAGCAAUAGAGACAAAAUCAUUAGCAGAAGACGAGCAAUGGCUCACAUACUGGGUUCUCUACGCAAUCAUCUCCCUCUUCGAACUCAUUUUCC